UCGGUUGUUGGACCCUCGCCUUGAAGGUCACUUUUCAAUCAAAGGUUCUCAGAAAGCAACCCAGCUGGCUGCCCAAUGCCUUAGCCGUGACCCCAAAGCCAGACCACGGAUGAGUGAGGUUGUUGAAACUUUGAAGCCUUUGCAAAACCUCAAGGACAUGGCUAGCUCCUCCUAUUACUUCCAAACCAUGCAGGCAGAUAAUACCUGGUCCAUCCGAAAUUCUAAAAACGGCAUCAGAACACAGGGAGGAUUCAUGACAAGGAAUGGACAACCCUUAAGGACCUUAUCGCAUCCAAAUGGUCCACAUGCUUCUCCAUAUCGCCAUCCUCAACAG
rnacentral:lncRNA from 1 species